GACGAACGCUGGCGGCGUGCCUAAUACAUGCCAGUUGAGCGCUGAAGGUUGGUACUUGUACCAACUGGAUGAGCAGCGAACGGGUGAGUAACGCGUGGGGAAUCUGCCUUUGAGCGGGGGACAACAUUUGGAAACGAAUGCUAAUACCGCAUAAAAACUUUAAACACAAGUUUUAAGUUUGAAAGAUGCAAUUGCAUCACUCAAAGAUGAUCCCGCGUUGUAUUAGCUAGUUGGUGAGGUAAAGGCUCACCAAGGCGAUGAUACAUAGCCGACCUGAGAGGGUGAUCGGCCACAGUGGGACUGAGACACGGCCCAAACUCCUACGGGAGGCAGCAGUAGGGAAUCUUCGGCAAUGGACGAAAGCCUGACCGAGCAACGCCGCGUGAGUGAAGAAGGGUUUCGGAUCGUAAAAAUCUGUUGGUAGAGAAGAACGUUGGUGAGAGUGGAAAGCUCAUCAAGUGACGGUAACUACCCAGAAAGGGACGGCUAACUACGUG
rnacentral:rRNA from 1 species